rnacentral:rRNA from 1 species
CAUGCCUAAUACAUGCAAGUCGAACGAGAGUAGCAAUACUCUAGUGGCGAACGGGUGAGUAACACGUAGGAAACCUGCCUCAAAGUCGAGGAUAACUACUGGAAACGGUAGCUAAAACUGGAUAGGAUAUAUUAAGGCAUCUUGAUAUAUUUAAAAGUCCUUCUGGGAAUGCUUUGAGAUGGUCCUGCGGCGCAUUAGCUAGUUGGUGAGGUAGUAGCUUACCAAGGCGACGAUGCGUAGCUGAGCUGAGAGGCCAAACAGCCACACUGGGACUGAGACACGGCCCAGACUCCUACGGGGGGCAGCAGUAGGGAAUUUUCGGCAAUGGGGGAAACCCUGACCGAGCAAUGCCGCGUGAAUGAUGAAAUUCUUCGGAAUGUAAAAUUCUGUUGUGAGGGAAGAAAGGUAGUAUCAGGAAAUGGGUAUUACUUGACGGUACCUUACUAGAAAGCCCCGGCUAACUAUGUGCCAGCAGCCGCGGUAAUACAUAGGGGGCGAGCGUUAUCCGGAAUUAUUGGGCGUAAAGCGUGCGUAGGCGGCCGUUUAAGUCUGUCGUGAAAGCCCACAGCUUAACUGUGGAGGGUCGAUGGAAACUGGAUGGCUUGAAUCUAGAAGAGGUAAGUGGAAUUCCAUGUGUAGCGGUAAAAUGCUUAGAUAUAUGGAGGAACACCAGUGGCGAAGGCGGCUUACUGGUCUAGCAUUGACGCUGAGGCACGAAAGCGUAGGUAGCAAACAGGAUUAGAUACCCUGGUAGUCUACGCUGUAAACGAUGAGCACUAAGUGUCGGACGUAAGUUCGGUGCUGUAGUUAACGCAUUAAGUGCUCCGCCUGGGGAGUACGGUCGCAAGACUGAAACUCAAAGGAAU